GGAGGUUCGAGCUAGCCAUGCAUGUCUCCGAAUAGUAGCUUGAUCUCGAAUCUGCGAACGGCUCCGUAUAUCUGUUGUAACCCCCCACCUCCGAAAUACUCCCCGGAUACCCACGGUAAUUCUGCGGCUAAUACGUAGUACAUUCGGCUCCGGGUCGCCGCAGGGUGACCUAGCCGGACUCGCCCCCCCGCCCGGCUUCUAACCGAGCGUGAGCGCAGGCGAGCUUACCUUACCGCGGGGAAUCCCCCAUGGAGAGUGUGAUGGGCUUCAGACCUAUCAACUAGACGGCCGGGGAUAGCCCGGCCGUGGUUAUAACGGGUACAGAGGAUAAGGGUUCGA
rnacentral:rRNA from 1 species